UGUUUCUGUUUCCACACACAUACAUGCACCCCCACCACCACCACCACCACCACCACCCCCCCCACCGGAAAGGAAUUUGAGAGUUCAAUCCUUCGACUUGCAAACAUAGGCAUUCUGUGGUCCAGACUGAGGAGCAUCCUCUCGGGGAAAUUUUCUUGUUAGCUUUUCUCCUUUCCCCUCCAGACCUAAAGAAGCUGGACUACAGUCCAGCUCUCUUCCCUGACAGAGAUCUGCGGUGGUUCAACUUCUUGCUAUUUUGGUUUUUCCUGUUUUGCAAACUCUUCCUCUUGCUAAAACUAGGGUCCCACUGAUCAUUUUGACUCAAGCUGCUUGUAAAACUCCUCCGGCUUGGCUGCCGUGAACUUCUUCGAAGCCCUUCCUCCUCACAAGCUGGCUUUUCCUCCCUUUGCACUGACCAUCAUUUUCUUAAAUUCCAAAGCCUCGCCAGCUUCCUUUACCAAACAAGGAAAAUGGAAAAACAGGGUGAGUCAUUCUCAAGGAAAAGGACUGCACAGUGUUCACCACCCUCUCCUCAGGUGGUGCCACCCAGUGCUGGGUCCUGGGGUCUUGGGUGGAAACCUCGUUUUCAAAUCACGCAUGCACAAUGCUAUGGUUUCGCCGCUCUGGUUAACAGCUGGGUCUAGGGGAAAGACGGCUGAGGUGCUUGAGCUGCUGUUGCCUUCGUACGUCAUCAUCUGAGCCCGAUCCUGCUGGCCGCCUGCAGAGGACCCAAGAGAGGGCCCGUAGGCGGACGCGAUAUACCUGGCUCAUUUUCAACAGGUCUCACAGAGAAAACUACAGUCCAGGAGUUAGCUAGGAAAACUGGCUUAGCAUCUUCUUUUCCUUACAGUUACAAGUAGGAUACUCUUAAGACGUCAGUGCAAGGUGCAUGCUAGGUUGUCGUUUAAGUCUCAAGGGUCAGUUUUCUGCUUUCUUACUUGAAUGAUAAUUUUAAGUCAGCACGGAAAACCAUUUUUUUCUUUCCUUUUUGUUUGCCUCUACUCCCUUACAGUCAUGCCUAUUAAGUCCUUUGUGAACAGACAGGACUUCCGGGAGCAAUGGCCUCUUUCCAAGUGUCCCCAGAGCUCCUAUCUGAAGAGUACACGGAGGACUUGCUACACCAUGUUAAGUCAUCAAGCAUUUGGCCUGGAUCUUCCCAGCUAACUGGGAAUGUAAGGGAAGAAGCAAGAGCUAGCCCUGUCUCUGACCCUGAGAUAGAAAGCUAUUUAUUUGUGUUCAGUGUUCAAGGCAUGACUAGUAUUGCUGAUUAGUCUAAUAAAUCCCCACACUUCCUGCAGUGAACACUAAUGGUAUUGUUCUAACCCUUUUUCUUUCUUUGUAUGUGGUCAGUCACUCACAGUAAGCUAUGAGGUAAAAUGUGUUACACAAAUCGUAGUUGUAAGACAAUAUCGUGAAGGCUCAUGUAGGUUGGGUUUCAUUCACACCCUCCCACACAUAUCGCAUUACAUUGUAGGGUUGACUUUAAUUGGCACCACACUUGUACAUUAUACAUUAUUUAUGUAAGAUAAAAUGCCUUAUAUAUUAAAGAGUAAGUGCAAUAAAUAUGAAAUGGCCUGUACAUUUUAAAAAUGUUGCCAAGUUAUGUAAAUCCACCUCUCUGUAAACAAUUUUUUAAAUAAUUUUCAAAAAAUAAACACUGCUUACUACUUG
rnacentral:lncRNA from 1 species